UACGUAGGGUGCGAGCGUUGUCCGGAAUUAUUGGGCGUAAAGAGCUCGUAGGCGGUUUGUUGCGUCGACUGUGAAAACCUACAGCUUAACUGUGGGCUUGCAGUCGAUACGGGCAGACUUGAGUUCGGUAGGGGAGACUGGAAUUCCUGGUGUAGCGGUGAAAUGCGCAGAUAUCCGGAGGAACACCGGUGGCGAAGGCGGGUCUCUGGGCCGAUACUGACGCUGAGGAGCGAAAGCGUGGGGAGCGAACAGG
rnacentral:rRNA from 1 species